rnacentral:rRNA from 2 species
ACCUGACUGCUAUCGGAUUGAUACUAAGCCAUGCGAGUCAUUGUAGUAAUACAAGGCAGACGGCUCAGUAACGCGUAGUCAACCUAACCUAUGGACGGGAAUAACCUCGGGAAACUGAGUAUAAUGCCCGAUAGAACAUUAUGCCUGGAAUGGUUUAUGUUCCAAAUGAUUUAUCGCCAUAGGAUGGGACUGCGGCCUAUCAGUUUGUUGGUGAGGUAAUGGCCCACCAAGACUAUUACAGGUACGGGCUCUGAGAGGAGUGGCCCGGAGAUGGGUACUGAGACACGGACCCAGGCCCUAUGGGGCGCAGCAGGCGAGAAAACUUUGCAAUGUGCGAAAGCACGACAAGGUUAAUCCGAGUGGUUUCUGCUAAAGGAACCUUUUGUCGGUCCUAGAAACACCGAUGAAUAAGGGGUGGGCAAGUUCUGGUGUCAGCCGCCGCGGUAAAACCAGCACCUCAAGUGGUCAGGAUGAUUAUUGGGCCUAAAGCAUCCGUAGCCGGCUCUGUAAGUUUUCGGUUAAAUCUGUACGCUUAACGUACAGGCUGCCGGGAAUACUGCAGAGCUAGGGAGUGGGAGAGGUAGACGGUACUCGGUAGGAAGGGGUAAAAUCCUUUGAUCUAUUGAUGACCACCUGUGGCGAAGGCGGUCUACCAGAACACGUCCGACGGUGAGGGAUGAAAGCUGGGGGAGCAAACCGGAUUAGAUACCCGGGUAGUCCCAGCUGUAAACUAUGCAAACUCAGUGAUGCAUUGGCUUGUGGCCAAUGCAGUGCUGCAGGGAAGCCGUUAAGUUUGCCGCCUGGGAAGUACGUACGCAAGUAUGAAACUUAAAGGAAUUGGCGGGGGAGCACCACAAGGGGUGAAGCCUGCGGUUC